AUUGAACGCUGGCGGCAUGCCUUACACAUGCAAGUCGAACGGCAGCGGGGGAGAAGCUUGCUUUUCCUGCCGGCGAGUGGCGAACGGGUGAGUAAUACAUCGGAACGUGCCCUGUAGUGGGGGAUAACUAGUCGAAAGAUUAGCUAAUACCGCAUACGACCUGAGGGUGAAAGUGGGGGACCGCAAGGCCUCAUGCUAUAGGAGCGGCCGAUGUCUGAUUAGCUAGUUGGUGGGGUAAAGGCCUACCAAGGCGACGACCAGUAGCUGGUCUGAGAGGACGAUCAGCCACACUGGGACUGAGACACGGCCCAGACUCCUACGGGAGGCAGCAGUGGGGAAUUUUGGACAAUGGGCGAAAGCCUGAUCCAGCAAUGCCGCGUGUGUGAAGAAGGCCUUCGGGUUGUAAAGCACUUUUGUCCGGAAGGAAAUGGCUCUGGUUAAUACCUGGGGUCGAUGACGGUACCGGAAGAAUAAGGACCGGCUAACUACGUGCCAGCAGCCGCCGUAA
rnacentral:rRNA from 1 species